AGAUUUAAUAAUAGCAUUUACAAUAGUAAUAUUGAACUUUAAAAUGGACCAUGUAGCUGUGGUUUCUUUUUGUGACAUCCUUUCUUCCAACAACAAAGCACUAGUUCUUAACCAGAAGUAAAAAUGAAAAUCACAGGAAAAGCUUUUACCCAAACUCAAACUCUAGCAAGCAUCUACUAAAUCUGGAGCUCUUUAACUGGUAAACAGCAGCAUAGCAUAUGUGGCUAAGGUCAUAGGCUGUUUAGCCCAGCAUCAAAUUCUUGCUCAGCCUUUCAACUGUUCUGUGACCUUAGGCCAGUCAUCUAUUUGUACCUUACUUCCCCACCUAGAAAAUAGGGAUUAUAAUGUGCCUGCCCAAGUAUAUAUUGAUAGGAUUAAAUUACUUAUAACAGGGCAUGCAUGGCACAUAGGAAAUACUUUUAGAUUUUUACUAGGACUACUACUCUUAUGUUUGAGCCACUAUAUUACUAUAAAAAGAAAUUAGGAAUAUCUUGAUAUAUUUAACAUAUUCUUGAGUACUAAGUGAAUAAAACUGUGCAUGGUAGGCUACCAUUUUGGAAAGGUAGCCAAUUUAAAUUUUAAUAAAUUGUUACCUAUGAGGGAAGGAAGAAAGAGAAUAGGAUGGAGAAGUAAAGAAGCUGGAAUAUACAUCUUUGAAUAUACCAGGAUUCCAUACUAAUAAAUAUCCCCUCAUAUGUUCUGAAAACUCUUGAUUCUCAAUGAUGUGGAGAGCCAGAUGUGAGAGAGGCACAGCCACCACAUCCCACAGGUUCUGCUCAAGGAACUGCCUGCCAGCACCAACCCCAGUUAAGGGGAGGUACAAGAAUAGCCAAAGGCAGUUAAGCUUAAAAGGCAACAAAAAGCUUCCAAGAUCAGCCCAAAGUGAGAACAUCGUGGGCGGCACACGGAAGUGAGUCUGUGUAUAUAAACUGUGCAAAUUAAAACUGCGCCACUGGUCUGCCAUCAGUGGUCAGUGGACCUCCUGAUCCCAUCUUUUCUCUCUGUGUUUUUCUUCUAAUUUCCCACCAACUCCUCUCAGGUUCCACAGAGCUGGACUCUGCAAGUAGCGCCCAAACAAGCACCUGAGAAUGGAGUGAUCAGAAGCCGAGGUGAGGACACUCCCCAGAGGAUUGACGCCGGUCAAAUAAGCCUCCUAGAGCACCUUCUGAAGAAGAAUUAAUGCAAACUGAGCAGCCAUCCACCAUCUGUGGCUUCAAAUAAAGAAAGAAGGGGGAGAUGCUAUCGUUCCUUCCUGAACACAGCAUUUUCUAGAAUCUCCCUAUCCUGUUGUUGCAGGAAGGGCAUCUCCCAUUGUCUACUGUGACCAGAGGAUGUCUUGUAUAUGCCCCAAAUGUGGAGUUGCCUUGUGCCAAGAGCCAUCCCUCCCUGUGAUGGUGCCUAUCAUUUUUUUGUCCUGUGAUGGUCCCUCUUGUACUUUUACCAAGAGAGACUCUUUUCUCAUAGUCCACUUGCCCAAGGCUAUGGCUGGGCUUUCCGGCCCAUGUUGAGGUUGAAGGCACCUGGGGGCUGGUGCCAUGCCAUCUGUCUCUCUUGUCCAGUGCUUUAAGCUGGGCUCUCCCUGUAGUAGAAACCUGGGUUCCCUAAGACAGGUGACCAGAGCCAGGGCCCCACUGGCUGGUGAGGGAACUUCAAGGCAGGUGCUGGGUGCGGAAGCCACGGGGGCAUAGACAAUCAAGGAGACAGAGAACUGACCCUCUUGGGGGAUGCUGCUCCUCUCUCAUUUAACAUGCCUCACAUCACCCUUCUUGGCCCCAUAGGAUGGCUAGUUAGCCAGAGGCAGGUAAGAUUCCUCAGGGAAGGAACAACCUACGACAGGCACAGUUGCAGAGGGGCCAUCAGGAGAGAACUUGAGAGCCAACAGAGGUGGGGCACAGAACCUCACCCCCCCAACCCUGCAAAGGCCUGAACCCUCACCACUUCUGAGAGAGGUCUUAUGCUCCCAUGGCUGCUUUGCUGUCCAUGCCCAGCUCAGAUCAGGACCAAGGUAGCAGACAGGGACCUGGCCAGCAACAGCUGCCUCCUUAUUCCACUAAAAAGAAGAGGGAGAUGUGGAGAGCUGGAUGUGAGAGAGGCAAGGCCACCACAUCCUGCAGGUUCCACUCAAGGAACUACCUGCCAGCACCAACCCCAGUUAAGGGGAGGUACAAGAAGAGCUGCAGGCAUUUAAGCUUAGAAGGCAACAAGAAGAGCUUCCGAGAUCAGCCUGGAAGUGAGAACAUUGUGGGCAGCACACAGAAGUGAGCCUGUGUAUAUAAGCUGUGAAAAGAAUUAAAACUGCGCCACUGGUCCGCCAUCAGUGGUCAGUGGACCUCCUGAUCCCA